UACAGAGGGUGCAAGCGUUAAUCGGAUUUACUGGGCGUAAAGGGCGCGUAGGUGGUUGUUUAAGUUAGAUGUGAAAUCCCUGGGCUUAACCUAGGAACUGCAUCUGAUACUGGAUGACUAGAGUACUGUAGAGGGUAGUGGAAUUUCCGGUGUAGCGGUGAAAUGCGUAGAGAUCGGAAGGAACACCAGUGGCGAAGGCGGCUACCUGGACAGAUACUGACACUGAGGCGCGAGAGCGUGGGGAGCAAAC
rnacentral:rRNA from 1 species